rnacentral:rRNA from 1 species
AUGAACGCUGGCGGCGUGCCUAAUACCUGCAAGUCGAGCGCACAGACGAGGAGCUUGCUCCUCUGACGUUAGCGGCGGACGGGUGAGUAACACGUGGAUAACCUACCUAUAAGACUGGGAUAACUUCGGGAAACCGGAGCUAAUACCGGAUAAUAUAUUGAACCGCAUGGUUCAAUAGUGAAAGACGGUUUUGCUGUCACUUAUAGAUGGAUCCGCGCCGCAUUAGCUAGUUGGUAAGGUAACGGCUUACCAAGGCAACGAUGCGUAGCCGACCUGAGAGGGUGAUCGGCCACACUGGAACUGAGACACGGUCCAGACUCCUACGGGAGGCAGCAGUAGGGAAUCUUCCGCAAUGGGCGAAAGCCUGACGGAGCAACGCCGCGUGAGUGAUGAAGGUCUUCGGAUCGUAAAACUGUUAUUAGGGAAGAACAAAUGUGUAAGUAACUAUGCACGUCUUGACGGUACCUAAUCAGAAAGCCACGGCUAACUACGUG